UUUCAACCGAAAAAAAUCCCUCAUGUGAAGUUUCCAUGAUAUUUUAUACGUAAUUUUGUGGGGAUACUGUACUCGUCAUUAUUGAGGGAUUUUGUGUAGACACUGUCCUACCUCGGUCAAAAUAAAUCCAAAAAAAUUAAGGGGGCUUGUUAUGGAGUGUAAGUUAUCGGAUCCGGUAUUUUAACAAAAAAAGGUCGGGUUAAAUUUUUUAUUGCGGUGUUUUACGUAAAUUACUACGUUUUUUGGUGUGUAAAUUAUCAUACUGUCCAACGUACAUUUCAAAACAAAUUAUUUUUCUUGGCUUACACACAAAACAAUGACUGGAGUUCAAAUUUUACAGGAAGAGAAACAUUCAUUUCACUAUAAUUACUCAUUGACAGAUACAAACACAAUGCAUGGAUCCUUGAAAAAUAACUUGAUCCAUAUGGGUCCGCCCCUUCGUCCAAAGCUUUGUUGUUUUUUUCCGCUAUCAAAUAGAGUAUAAAAGGAGUAUAAAAGGAAGCUAAUCUGAAUUGGAAUCAGGAAAACCGGCUUAUCCCGAGUGGUCGCGCAGCUGCACCUCAACCAGCAGGUUGGGGGUAAGACUCCUAGGGGUGGUUUUUUUU
rnacentral:lncRNA from 1 species